AGUGAACGCUGGCGGCAGGCCUAACACAUGCAAGUCGAGCGGCAGCGCGGGGGCAACCCUGGCGGCGAGCGGCGGACGGGUGAGGAAUUCGUCGGAAUCUGCCUUUUUGUGGGGGAUAACGUAGGGAAACUUACGCUAAUACCGCAUACGUCCUACGGGAGAAAGUGGGGGACCGCAAGGCCUCACGCAGAAAGAUGAGCCGACGACCGAUUAGCUAGUUGGUGGGGUAAAGGCCCACCAAGGCGACGAUCGGUAGCUGGUCUGAGAGGAUGAUCAGCCACACUGGGACUGAGACACGGCCCAGACUCCUACGGGAGGCAGCAGUGGGGAAUAUUGGACAAUGGGCGCAAGCCUGAUCCAGCCAUGCCGCGUGUGUGAAGAAGGCCUUCGGGUUGUAAAGCACUUUUGUCCGGAAAGAAAUCCCUGGAGCUGAUACCUUCGGGGGAUGACGGUACCGGAAGAAUAAGCACCGGCUAACUUCGUG
rnacentral:rRNA from 1 species